rnacentral:misc_RNA from 1 species
GUAAGUUGGAUUAUGCAACCAUUCAUGCGGAAUGCUAGGUUAAAAGUUCUCCAAUGUUCGCAAGAAAAUGUGGCCAUAAUUUCUUGGCGAUUGGAGAAUGCAAGUAAAACCAAUCACAUGGAAAGGCCACAGCAGUAGCCAGAAUUGAGAGACUAGUAGAACUUAACCGAACAGUCACUACUCUUUAGCCGAAUCAGAAGAGGCCAAAGGAGCAAUCACAUGAAGUGUGAGGGUGGGGCCACAGAAAGCGCAAGAAACCAUUUGUUAAGUUAGAUGGGGCGGCAAAGCUAAGUUAAAUUAACACUCACUCCUCUCAAAACUCUCAAUGGUCAAUACCCGCAUAUCCCAUAAAUACCCCCCUCCACUUCCACACUUCCCACUACAAUAAUCAACAUCUCUUAGCUCAGUCGUCUCUUUCCUUUCUCUUGC